ACCGGGCUGGCUCAGUCAGUAGAGCAUGUGACUCUUGAUCUCUGGGUUGUAGGUUUGAGCCCUAUGCUAGGUG
rnacentral:tRNA from 1 species